rnacentral:tRNA from 1 species
GGCCCUGUGGUGAAAUUCAUAUUGAGUUGCAAGCUCAGGGAUGUGCGUUAAUAGCGUGCCGGGGCCU